UCUCCUCUGCCUCCUCUGUGCGUGCGGGUCUCUGCGUGCGGGUCUCUGCGUGCGGGUCUCUGCGUGCGGGACUGUGCGUGUAUCUGUGCGCGUGUAUCUGUGCGCGUGUUUGCGGGUCUGUGGAAAUGUCGCACGCGGUGGGGAGCACGAGCACGUCGGGCACGCGCACUCCGGACGGUCUCCUGAAUCUGGGCUACAUCCGGACCAUCCCGGGCCUGCUGCAGAGCGGACAACUGGUGGCGCUCCUGGUCACGUUCCUGUGCAUUCACCUGGCGCGGGGGUGGCCCAGCUGGUACGCCUUCCAGUUCUUUGAGGUUGUGGCUCUUUGGUUCUUUGUGGCUCUUCUCGUUUUCUUCUUCAUCCACAUCUUCAGCCUGAACAGCAGGACGCCCUGCAUCAACUGCCCCCUGACGGAGUUCUUUCAUUACUGCGUGGGCUCCGUCCUCGUCCUCGUCGCCUCCAUCGUCGGAGCCGUGAAGGCGUCAGGAGUUUCUGCUCUGGUCACUGCCACGGUACAAGUACUACAAGUACUACUACAAAUACUACUGUGUUUGGGUUCAUCACCUCGUUCCUGAUGCUCGUGUCUCUGUGGACGACCUACAGCGUCUCCUGCGGCGCUCAUCAGACAGGUGCGGUCGUCUAAUCCAGUAAAAUGGCGGCUGUGGGAGUUUCGGGGCGUCACAAUCAAACUCUGCCCGGGAACCGCUGGGACCCUGCGUCUGAUUGGACGAGGCCCGGAGGCGUCGUCCAAUCAGAGCCCGGUGUCCGGCCCACACAGAUUUGGUCCAGAACCACAAACGACCACAAACGACAAUAAACAACGACCACAAACGACAAUAAACAACGACCACAAACGACAAUAAACAACGACCGCAAACGACAAUAAACAACGACCACAAACGACAAUAAACAACGACCGCAAACGACAAUAAACAACGACCGCAAACGACAAUAAACAACGACGCAAACGACAAUAAACAACGACCGCAAACGACAAUAAACAACGACCACAAACGACAAUAAAUAACGACCACAAACGACGAUAAACAACGACCACAAACAACAAUAAAUAACCAGGGCAUCAGGUUUAAAAUGUGCUUUUCAUUUUAAAUGUGCUUUUCAUUUUAAAUAAAUUCUGAAAUUCCAGUCUUGGUGCUAGACCUCACCGAACAUCAGAGGGCGCCGUAGGACCCCUGGUUUAGUCCUGGUUUAGACCUGGUUUAGUCCUGGUUUAGUCCUGGUUUAGACCUGGUUUAGUCCUGGUUCUGGACCAGACUCUGUUGGUUCUGUUCUGACUGUUUCCCAAGUGCCUUAAGCUUCACUUUUCAUUUGAGCCUCAUGAAGUACAUAAAAGUAUUACAGUAACUGUUCUAGUGAGUAAAAGUGUUUUAUUCUAUUGAGUACUACAGUGAGUACUACAGUGAGUACUACAGGAAGUACUACAGUGAGUACUACAGUGAGUACUACAGGAAGUACUACAGUGAGUACUACAGUAACUCCAUCAGUGUUGAAUCAUCUGCUGCAUGAAAAUAAAAAAACUGCACAAA